rnacentral:rRNA from 1 species
CAGUCGCCGCGGGAACACGAAGGGGGCUAGCGUUGUUCGGAAUUACUGGGCGUAAAGGGCGCGUAGGCGGCCAUUCAAGUUAGAUGUGAAAGCCCUGGGCUCAACCUAGGAAUUGCAUUUGAUACUGUUUGGCUUGAGUUCGGGAGAGGUGAGUGGAAUUCCCAGUGUAGAGGUGAAAUUCGUAGAUAUUGGGAAGAACACCAGUGGCGAAGGCGGCUCACUGGACCGACACUGACGCUGAGGCGCGAAAGCGUGGGGAGCAAACAGGAUUAGAGACCCGUGUAGUCCCUGUCUCUUAUAC